AUCACUUUUGCAAAUAUUACAUAUACAAGUUAACUCACAUGAAAUUAAUAAAUAAUACAACAGACAGAUAGA